rnacentral:sRNA from 1 species
UGAUCUACACUAUUACUUCAAAUCCCUUCCUCUAUAACGUUUCGCCAAGCUAAUCGCCGGUUAAUUGUUCCGCCUACCACGGAGGUCCACUCCUUUUCUCGCGGGUAUAUAACAGAAGAGGAGGAGAGUAGAAGAAAAAUAAUGUCCAAAUGAUAUGUUAUACGGAAACGAAGAAGAGACUAAAUCAAAGUUAACGAAAGGUACAGCGUAUGAAGGGGUAUCGCAUAAAAAAGGGUUUAGAUCGUGUGAACAUCAUUCACAAAUUGCAGCCCACCCAUCCACUCCACUCUCCUUCCUGCAGAACUCUUCGCCACACCCUUGGACGUACUCCCUCUUCCGGAUCCCUCUUUUCCGUUACUAGUGGACAAGCUUUCCACGUCCACCGUGGCACUUCCAGAGCCUAUGAUACUCGUCGGAUACGUUAAUGUCGCAUACUCCGAAACGUUGCUUUCCUCGAGAGCCGCAUCGCUGAGAUAUACUAGGGCCACAGAAGGUGCAGGGACAGGCACAAUGCAGACACCUUCAUCGCACGUAAUGGUAAUCGUUUCAAGGUCGCCGUACAGUCUUCCGUCAGAAGCAAACGAUUGACCAAGAGUCUGGUUGGCCCAAUAAAUAUCGUACUGCUCGCUCACACUGUCGGCUUGGAGAUAUCGGACCUGUACCUGGGUCGGGCUCUGGUUUUGGAUGUUGAUAGUAACGUCGAGAUCGCUACCGCGCGUGGAGUCAUCGAUAAAAUUAAAGAGCACCAUACGAGCGACAACAUCGUUCUCGUAGAUGGCAUAGACGGGGUGGUAGAUGCUAUUGGCGUCGUACUCGGGUAAUGGGGUGAGAUCCACGACCCGAGAAGCGUUGGAUUUGCCAAAUGCUUCGGAAAUGACGAGGGUAGGGUAGUAAACGGAUCCGGGAGUCCAUUGGAGGGUCUUGGAAAGCUUGGAAGGGGGAGGAGUGAAGGGCUUUCUCAGGAAUAAAUAAGCUAAGACAUUUUGACCGCCGACGUGCAUUAAGGCGGUAGAAAAGUUGGCAUACGCCAUUUGAAGGGCAAAAUCGGUCAACCUGAUAUUCUAUCAAUAAUUUCCUUAUUUUAAUGUCCAUCAAAACGCACCACAUGGCAGCACCAAAGCUGUCACUUAAACCAGCAAAACCACCACAACUCGCCGUGUUCGUUUCCAACAUCACCAACUCCUUGCCAGCAUUUUGCACAGUGACUGAAUCCGCAAGGUAUUCUCCUACAAGUGCUUGAGCACUAGUAUGGUUCAAGAAAUCACUGAAAAUGUCUUGGGGUUCGAUUACUUUACCGUUGACUUUACAGUUGUUUGUCGGGUAAUGCUGAACGGUAACCGCUGAAAGUCUGUCAACGUUUUCUUCGAGCCAGCCAGCAUUGAUAAGGUCGGAAAAUUCGAAACCGGGAACAUUGCAGCAUAGGGAAGGGCCGAUAAAAGCAUUGUUAUUGAGCAGAGAACCAUUGGAGACAAUGGAUUUGACCACGUCAUCGUACUCAGUGACGAAAUCGCUAACACCCCAGCCUGUGGACCGGUGGUUAUGGUUGACAUAUCUGCUACAUAUCAGCGGGCUGUACUCAUCUUUCUACGAUGCUGCUUACAGAUCAGGUUCAUUUCCCACACUUAAGCCUAAAAGACUGUCACCCAAAAUUUCUUGCGCCCAAUGAGCGGCAAUAGGGAUGUUGCCGGUGGGCGAAUCCACAUCGGACUCGUUGAAGGCCAAUCCAAAAUACCACUCCGCUCCUACAAGGGAUGUAAUGUUGGACAUGAUGUAAAACAGUUCAGGGGAAUAGUUGAUGAGAGGUGUGUCGGUCUAAGCUCAAGGUCAGUCACGCGACUCUUUCACCCUUUCGAUGUUGUAAUGAAACUUACAACGCCCGAGCUGACUUUUAUCUUCUCCAUGGCAACACCGCCUUCCAACCCAUCCACAAAUAUCGUACUGCCUUCCUGACUAUUUCCUCCAACCCUGAUAAUUGGUCCUGCGCCUGCCCGAUUUUGGAUGUUGGCCAUAAAAUUCAAAAAAGGCACUUUGAGGUUACCCGACGAACUUCCUAGCAGACUAGUGGCAACGGACAGUUCGAUGGAGAACCCAAGGAAGUUACCUUUUUGAGGUAUGGACAGUGACAAACCUUCGCUUGCUACUCCGGCACCAUCGGAAGGGAUAGAAAGGGAAAGGGAAGUGACUGCAGGAGAUGGAGGAGCCGGAGGAGUGAGUCGAGUUGGGUCGUAUGCCGGUAAGCCGGUGUAUGUCUGGCCAGCGGCGAGAGAGGAUGUCGUGGUAGGUGCAGUAUCGGUGUAGAGUGUGACUUCAUCGGCAAGGACGGUGUGAGAGAAAAUAGAUAGAAUGGAGAAGAGGACGAGGGUGAAGGAGAUCGGGAUAUGUGGUAAUAAGGCCAUGAUGUGAUGGAUGGGGAUGCAGAAGGUGAGUGGUUAUACAAGGAUAUAGAAUUGGCGUCGGACGUUAUGGUAUAAGAACAAUGAGCGGGUGGGAAUAGGUAGAACCUGGUGUCAGGUGUACCUUCUGAUGGAUCCGGAUUGAUUACUGUCUCCCAUCAAUGUCUGGGGCCUUUGGAAUGCUCGGAAUGUUUAUCGGAUGUCCAAUAUUAUUGGUCGGAUGCUUAGGUACAAUAAGGCGCAAAUUAUACAAACAACGAUCGACUAAGAUCCGGGCCGAGGAAGUUAAUGAGGACGUGAGAGAUCUUGAGGCGUCGAGGCACUCGACAGAACCCUGGCCACUAUGUUUGGGAAGUGGAUGGAAUUUAAGGCGAUUUAACUGGAGAUGCAAGGAGUUUGGUAAAGUGGGAUGUGCAUGUUAAAAUCAUGCGUGGGUGGGUCGCAAUCCUCCUUAUUUCCUUUCGUAUCGCCCUCUUCCUUCUUCCUCUUUCGCCCUUCCAUCACGAAGGAAAUGACGAUU